AUUGAACGCUGGCGGCAUGCCUAAUACAUGCAAGUCGAGCGGAUGAAGGAGGCUUGCUCCUGUCUGCAGUGGGGGACGGGUGGGUAAUGCCUAGGAAUCUGCCUUACAUUGGGGAAUAAGGUCCGGAAACGGGACCUAAUCCCGCAUAGGUCCUUAGUUAGAAAGGGGUGGUUCUUCGGACCUAGAGCGUCUUGAUGUGCCUAGGUCGGAUUAGCUAGUUGGUGGGGUAAAGGCCUACCAAGGCGACGAUCCGUAACUGCGCUGAGAGGAUGAUCAGCCACACUGGAACUGAGACACGGUCCAGACUCCUACGGGAGGCAGCAGUAGGGAAUAUUGGACAAUGGGCGAAAGCCUGACGGAGCAAUGCCGCGUGUGUGAUGAAGGUCUUCGGAUUGUAAAACACUGUAAGUAGGGAGGAAGAGAAGUAAGUUAAUCCCUUCCUGUCUUGACGUUACCAAAAGAAAAAGCCCCGGCUAACUUCGUG
rnacentral:rRNA from 1 species